AGUCUGCAGAGGACACGGACGGCUGAGGACGAGAGGACGAGCUGCACAGCUUCAGAACGUGAACUGAAGAUAAAGGCAAGAAUGUAAACUCUGAGAGCCAAUCACAGCGCAGACAGAUCAGGUUUAUUAUGAACACAUUCGUCAUACAUGACGUCUGUGUCUUCAGCAGCAGGUGAUGCAUGACAACACAUGAGCAGGACGGGUGGAGGAGCUGCAGCAUGUUGACCUUUGACCUUUACACCAGAACUUCUGUGUGUGUGUGUGUGUGUGUUGCUGUCCAAACAUCUUCCACUAAAGUUUAACUAAAGUUCUGCAGGACGUGAAGGUAAAGGUCCACGUGGAGCUCCAGAACCUGAACGGCAUGCGUCAUGUGACCGUCUCACCUUUAACUCGUGAUGUCACAUUUCAAAGAUUCCUGACAGGUCACGGCUAUAAUAAGAACUUCAACACGAGCCCUGGGUCCGGGUCACGUGGUGCCAGAAUCUGGAUUCAGGUGUGACUGUGUGAACACACCUGAACCGUUAAGCCCGACAGCACGAGCUUGCAGAACCGCUGGGUCCAAAAGAGUCCAACAUGAGAAACAAACUGGAAGCAGAAAUUUUUCAGUUUGUCAUUUUUCAAAGAAUCAAAUCAAAAAUCUGCUGAGACAUUUUUUAAUUCAAUAAAUCUGAAGCAAACGUUCUUUAAAGGUUUAUAGAACGUUUGUUCAUGAGAACGUUUUCAUAUCAUAUUUAUACGAUAAAUGUUUCAACGUGUCCGUCUGUGUUGAGCUUGUUUGUUCGUCUCCUCACAGGAAGUUGUUUCAUGUUUUGUAAUAAAGAUUUCUCCACCUGC